GGGGAACUACCGAGCAUUGCUGCCAACCCACACUUCUCAUUUGGGGUUGUGAGGGAAGCUCUUUCAGAACUUCAGGAACUGCUGGAGGACAUUUGGAAAGGGGAAUCCCUCAAGAUCUCCAGGAGAGUGAACGAGGUUCCUGUCUACAGUCUGAAGACCCCAGGGCCCAGGCUCAGAGCGGAGAUUCCCCAGCGUGAGUCUGUUUUCACAGGGAAGAGACGAGCACACAGGCGCACACUCACUGCAGCACGGUCACACAACGCCUUUCAGUUCACUUGUGACCACAGGAGCAGGCCGAGGAAUGGCUCUGCGGGGGUUCGAGUGAUCUGAAUGCCAAGGGUCGUCCACGCUGUAGGAGCUCUUAGAAUCAACCAGCCAGACGGCCUCAAUGUGUAACGGACACGGACUGGAAUC
rnacentral:lncRNA from 1 species